rnacentral:rRNA from 1 species
UUGAGAGUUUGAUCCUGGCUCAGAACGAACGCUGGCGGCACGCCUAACACAUGCAAGUCGAACGAUAAGCUAACUUCGGUUAGUGGACAGUGGCGGACGGGUGAGUAACACGUGGGAACAUACCUUUUGGUACGGAACAACCAUUGGAAACGAUGGCUAAUACCGUAUAAGCCCUCCGGGGGAAAGAUUUAUCGCCGAAAGAUUGGCCCGCGCUAGAUUAGUUAGUUGGUGAGGUAAAAGCUCACCAAGGCGACGAUCUAUAGCUGGUUUGAGAGGAUGAUCAGCCACACUGGGACUGAGACACGGCCCAGACUCCUACGGGAGGCAGCAGUGGGGAAUAUUGGACAAUGGGGGCAACCCUGAUCCAGCGAUGCCGCGUGAGUGAUGAAGGCCUUAGGGUUGUAAAACUCUUUCAGGGGUGAAGAUAAUGACGGUAACCCCAGAAGAAGCUCCGGCUAACUCCGUGCCAGCAGCCGCGGUAAUACGGAG